rnacentral:rRNA from 1 species
UACGAGGGGUGCAAGCGUUAUUCGGAAUGACUGGGCGUAAAGGGUGCGUAGACGGUAUAUUAAGCUUGUUGUUAAAUUCCCUGGCCUAACUGGGGGCAUGCGAUGAGAACGUGGUAUACUAGAGGAUGAGAGAGAAGAGUGGAAUUUCCGGAGUAGCGGUAAAAUGCGUAGAUCUCGGAAGGAACACCGAUGGCGAAGGCAGCUCUUUGGCUCAUUCCUGACGUUGAGGCACGAAAGCGUGGGGAGCAAACAGG